rnacentral:rRNA from 1 species
AUUGAACGCUGGCGGCAGGCCUAACACAUGCAAGUCGAGCGGUAGCACAGAGAGCUUGCUCUCGGGUGACGAGCGGCGGACGGGUGAGUAAUGUCUGGGAAACUGCCUGAUGGAGGGGGAUAACUACUGGAAACGGUAGCUAAUACCGCAUAAUGUCGCAAGACCAAAGAGGGGGACCUUCGGGCCUCUUGCCAUCAGAUGUGCCCAGAUGGGAUUAGCUAGUAGGUGGGGUAAUGGCUCACCUAGGCGACGAUCCCUAGCUGGUCUGAGAGGAUGACCAGCCACACUGGAACUGAGACACGGUCCAGACUCCUACGGGAGGCAGCAGUGGGGAAUAUUGCACAAUGGGCGCAAGCCUGAUGCAGCCAUGCCGCGUGUAUGAAGAAGGCCUUCGGGUUGUAAAGUACUUUCAGCGAGGAGGAAGGCAUUGUGGUUAAUAACCACAGUGAUUGACGUUACUCGCAGAAGAAGCACCGGCUAACUCCGUGCCAGCAGCCGCGGUAAUACGGAGGGUGCAAGCGUUAAUCGGAAUUACUGGGCGUAAAGCGCACGCAGGCGGUCUGUCAAGUCGGAUGUGAAAUCCCCGGGGCUCAACCUGGGAACUGCAUUCGAAACUGGCAGGCUAGAGUCUUGUAGAGGGGGGUAGAAUUCCAGGUGUAGCGGUGAAAUGCGUAGAGAUCUGGAGGAAUACCGGUGGCGAAGGCGGCCCCCUGGACAAAGACUGACGCUCAGGUGCGAAAGCGUGGGGAGCAAACAGGAUUAGAUACCCUGGUAGUCCACGCCGUAAACGAUGUCGACUUGGAGGUUGUUCCCUUGAGGAGUGGCUUCCGGAGCUAACGCGUUAAGUCGACCGCCUGGGGAGUACGGCCGCAAGGUUAAAACUCAAAUGAAUUGACGGGGGCCCGCACAAGCGGUGGAGCAUGUGGUUUAAUUCGAUGCAACGCGAAGAACCUUACCUACUCUUGACAUCCAGAGAACUUAGCAGAGAUGCUUUGGUGCCUUCGGGAACUCUGAGACAGGUGCUGCAUGGCUGUCGUCAGCUCGUGUUGUGAAAUGUUGGGUUAAGUCCCGCAACGAGCGCAACCCUUAUCCUUUGUUGCCAGCGGUUCGGCCGGGAACCCAAAGGAGACUGCCAGUGAUAAACUGGAGGAAGGUGGGGAUAACGUCAAGUCAUCAUGGCCCUUACGAGUAGGGCUACACACGUGCUACAAUGGCAUAUACAAAGAGAAGCGACCUCGCGAGAGCAAGCGGACCUCACAAAGUAUGUCGUAGUCCGGAUCGGAGUCUGCAACUCGACUCCGUGAAGUCGGAAUCGCUAGUAAUCGUAGAUCAGAAUGCUACGGUGAAUAAGUUCCCGGGCCU